GACAUAAUAAGAUACCUUUCGUCAAACAUUUUGACAGGUCUAUUGUUCUUUGACCUUUUUGACCUUUCAGUCCUAUUGUUCAUUUUGACCCUUGACCUUGCCCCCCUUUCCUAUCAUUAAUCAAAUGGACAGGUGUAUUGUUCAAUCCAUGCCCCCCCUUCCGUAUCAUUAAUCAAAUGGACAUGUGUAUUGUUGAACGUCCAGAUGGCCUAGACCCCCCACGCCGCAUCAUCAAUGGCGUAUUGUUGAGCGUCCAGAUGUCCAUGAUCCCCCACGUCAUAGGCUAAUGUGUGUAAUGGCGCGUGAAGUUUCUUAUUGUGUUACCCCAGUGGUUCACACAGCCCCCUCCCAUACGCCGCUGUCACAAACCUCUCAGAUAUGUUCAUCACCUAAAUUCAACACACAGAAAGUUUUGUCAUCUAAAUUGUACUGCAAAUGCAGAGAAGCAAGAAAAAGAAGGCCAGCCUCACCAGUGAGCAGAACCACAUCAGUCUGACGCUGCAGCCAUUAUAAUGCAUUUACCAGCCCUUACUGGCACACCAUAUCAGUCUAACCUCGUGGGACUUUUUAUAUCAAACAUGACAUGGCUCACUGACAGUGGAUGAGUGCGGCCUAACUGCUGUGAAUGACAGCCCCACACGCUGGUCAAGUACUUAUGAAAUGGUUGCAGGUCUCCUCAAAGUUAAAGAAUCUGACUGUAGAAUGGGGUGGGUCUGCUUGCUUGCUCUUGAGACUCAGCCAUCUGGCAGAUGUUCACAAAGUGCUUUUCUCCCAAAUAUUAGAUAUUUGGAUUUUGUAUGUUCAGUCUUAAACUUUGCGUUUAAAUGUGUAAAUAUUUACAUGCAGCUCACUGACACUUUUUGACCAGAACUAAAACUAUUGUGUAAAACUCUCUGUCCAGCAGCACAUCAGAGGCUGUAAACACACACACAAACUCUUCAGAGUGACACAUUGUCUAUGUCAUUAAUACUCUCUUUGAUUUACUCAGCCAUCUGGCAGAUGUUCACAUUGGAUUUCGUAUGUUCAGUCUUAAACUUUGUGUUUAAAUGUGUAAAUAUUUACAUGCAGCUCACUGACACUUUUUGACCAGAACUAAAACUAUUGUGUAAAACUCUCUGUCCAGCAGCACAUCAGAGGCUGUAAGCACACACACACACACACACACACACACACACACACACACACACACACACACACACACACACACACACACACACACACACACACACACACACACACAUUGCUUCCUGCCUCAGAGAAAAGAUUUGAUCCUUUUUGUAGGACCUAUAACAGCUGAAUUAAAUAAAAAGCUGUUUAUGAGGUUUGUUUUUUGGGAGGGGUGGAUUAGUAGUCUCGGAGCAGACGUACCUUCUUUAUCAAAACUUUAAUGUCUUACCUCUCAGAAUAGUUAAACUAAGGCACAUGCAUGUCGUAAACGGAUUUACACACGAGUGAAGGAGCAGCUACAUUUUAUCCAUUAUUAAGGAAACAUAAGCGAUUUCAGGAAGAAAUGUCCGGUACAAAACCGGUCCGGUAUUAUUUUUUGGAUCGUAAAGGUUUUUUUAUUUCUGCUCCGGGGAGUUUUGAAGAAGCAAUGGAUACGAGUUAAACACACACACACACACACACACACACACACACACACACACACACACACACACACACACACACACACACACACACACACACACACACACACACACACACACACACACACACACACCUUUCAGAAAAUGACUGACCCUCUCAGGGUUACCAACUCUAAACAUCCAUUCAGACAUUUGUCUACCUAUACAACAAAGCAAAUAACUCUGUAUUGUUUAUAAACAUUUUUUUUUCGACCAAUCGCAACCGUUUUCUAUUCAAGAUUUUUUUAAACAGCGGUAUAAAAUGUAAAACGCAUUUUCGGAGUCGUGAUUUGAGGUGUAACAAGCUAAGAUGACGGGUAAGUUUUUAACUUAAGACGCAAAUCUUUUUUUCUCUUUCUGGUUUAACAUCUUUAUUUUCAGACGCUAUUGUCAUAUCGGACGGCGAGUGGGAAGAAAUUCCUAUUGAGGAAUUAACUUGUAAAACUCCGGUACCUUUUCACCUGGAUGAUUUGUCUAAAAUUAACCGUGCGGUUGACAAUCUGAAAAAGGAGGGGGUUCAACCUUACCCCGGAAGUGAUAACUUUUACCCAACCACGCCUCCAUCCACCAGCCGAACCGUCUUACAUUCGAAUCAGCCCAGCCAGACCGUCAGAUCACACGCGAAAGCUGUUCGUUACAGGACCAUCACACCACAGACGAUCCUCGAAGCUGAGCAACGGCCGACGGCCUACGCACCCCCAAUAUCUCAGCCCCCACCACCUCCACCCCCUUCUCAUGCGCAGACGGAUGAACAACAUCCGACAGCCGCUUCAAUAUCUCCGCCCACACCACCUCCUCCUCCUCCUCCUCCCCCUUCUCCUGCACAGG